rnacentral:piRNA from 1 species
UGGUCAGUGUGUCCUGGAUAUUGGGGAUU